rnacentral:rRNA from 1 species
AGUAUCCUACGGGACGCAGCAGUGAGGAAUAUUGGUCAAUGGGCGGGAGCCUGAACCAGCCAAGUCGCGUGAGGGAUGACGGCCCUAUGGGUUGUAAACCUCUUUUGCCGGGGAGCAAAGUGCCGCACGUGUGCGGUUUGGAGAGUACCCGGAGAAAAAGCAUCGGCUAACUCCGUGCCAGCAGCCGCGGUAAUACGGAGGAUGCGAGCGUUAUCCGGAUUUAUUGGGUUUAAAGGGUGCGCAGGCGGGAGAUCAAGUCAGCGGUAAAAUGUCGGGGCUCAACCCCGGCCGGCCGUUGAAACUGG